UCCAGGCGGGGGCGUGUCAUGGGCGGAGCUUCCAGAGUCCUGUGCUGAUGAGGAGCUUGGGGCGUGCACAAUGAUGCAAUAUGCCCACACCCUUGCCCCGCCCCCUGGACGGAGGGACCCUUGAUAAUGAUGGGAGUUCUCCAUUAAAGACCAACAGGUGCAGCUGGCCAGUCUUCGCUUUUGACCGAAUCUACAGUAAGCACAGAUCGGCACUAAGAUUGAUGCAUUCAGCUUUAUAAUAAAUCCAAGCGGUAUACUUUGGAAAAUACAUAAAGGGAAACUUUUACACCAAAUGUUAAAGGGAAUCUAAGUUGCUACAAAUAGGAGCAACUUGUUUGACCGUUAUUUGGCUCAGAGAAAUUAGUCCCAUCUGGGAAAACCAUCAAGAACAGCUUAUACUAGAGUGAAACACCCCUGAUGAAGUCAAUAUUGACGAAACUCGUUGGGUGAUAUGAAAGUUGCUAGAUGCCACCGAGUGCCUCCUUUGUGGUUUGGAUAUGAAUAUUUUGGAUGAUUGCACCGGAGCACGCUGAGUUUGCUUACACACGGAGUGCCGGCAUAUUGUGGAUAAUAUAUAUAUAUAUAUAUAUAUAAUUUCUUUGAAAGUCCGCACUCACAUCAGAAAAAUCCAUAUAUAGGGGUGCUCCUCAAAAAACCCCAAGGAGAGUUUCACAUAUACCAGGUAUCCGAGACCAAAGAGAUCUCAAAAGAGGGCACUCACCAGUCCAAUAAAUUAAAAGGCUUUUAUUAGUUCAUCGCAGUCAUCAAUAGAUAGUCGACGUUUCGACCUAUAAGGUCUUUUUCAAGACAGUCACCGCAGACAUCCAGUCAGCAUGCCAGCUAACAGCAUACUGACUAUACCUACCGGGUCCCCUUAUAUAGCAACAC